CACAGCCAAGGUUGAAGAAUGACUAAAACUAGAAGCCUUAUAGACACACAUUGAGGCACCUUGAAAAACAGAGGCACCUGUGCUGCAAAACAAGAUUACAAUCUCCCUUCUUUUAGCAGACUUGCUUCCUCAUCUCCCCUGGUAAUCAUGUUGCUAGCUAAGUGACUGCAGUUCUUGUGUGCCGCUCUGAUGACCAGUCUCAGAAUAACUGUCCAGGAGUGUUCUGCCCUCACAUGGCAUAGCAAAGAAAGUACAUGCCAUUCAAAAAACAAAAUAAACUUCACUACCGCUUCUCUUCUCUCCUCCCCUUCUAUCACCACUCCCUCUUAACACAAACCAAUUGAAUCGCUCCUUGGUCCACAAGGCUUACCGUUCAGUGUUCACCGGCAGCUUGCAAACAGGAGCAGAAGAGGGGGAAAGUGUUCAGAUACACUGAGCCUGCUGAAAGAUGAUACAAGCAGCAAGAAGGACUGAUUCUGCUCAGUAUUGCCCAGAAAGGACAGUUUCAGGGUAAGAGCUGUUCUUUUUGGUUUUUUAGCAUUUCCAUUUGGGAUUACAGAAGUGAAGGGAUGUUGUCCUACCUAAGCCUCUUUUGUGAUGGAUCCAUACAGGAGUUGCCUAACCACAGGAUGGGGAACCACUAAUGGAAAUUUUGGAUUCAAAGGAUGCUUGGAUCAGUGAAACAGAAAAUGGAUCUGACUUUUCAACGCACCCAAAUUAUUGAAAAGGCAGCCUCAAACGGAUGCAAGGUUAGGUUAUUUGGAGAGAAUUGCAGAGUGGCAGAUCCAAUCAACAUGUUUGAGGCUUCUGAAGUAGAGUUCGAGAGGCUCUAUCUAGACACACCUUGCCUUUGAAAUUAUUGGCAUCAAUGAAUAGAAACAGACUUCAGCCAGUUUGUUCAACUUGAAAAGUGGCAGGCUGAGCAGCAGUCACAUGCUGGCAUUCCGCUGCAGUGUACCAUCUAGGCAGCACCGGCUUAUUUCCAGCAAAGCGUACUGUCUUUUCAGGAGCCAAACUUGACCUCUCCACAAGCAGCACCUUAUUUUAGAGAUGCGUUCCACGGCUGCCCAUGCAUGCUGCAGCACUCCGUGGCAGAGUUAUACUCGAGCGUGAAGUUUAACACAGUGAUUCUAUGCUGCUGGCAACACAGGCUGAACUUCACUCUUACAUGAUGAAUGUGCUGAUAUUGGCUACAUUUAAUUGGAAACUCCUUGGAAAGCUUCUUGUAUUCUUUGAACUGUGCAUUCAAGUUAGCACCUUAAAUGAUUUUUCCACUCACACAAGAUGCCCUGAGGUCUGUAUUUGUACAGCUGAUCUCUUGAGUUGUGCCAAGAGGAAUAUUCAGCAGGUCCCUGUCAUGCUGCCUCCCACAGCCACUACCUUGGAUCUCAGCCAUAAUGCCAUUGUUCAGCUUCAUAAUCAUUGGCUGACUGCCUUACCACGCCUCCAAACCCUUCGGAUCAGUCACAAUAAGAUCAGUAACAUCACCUGGCAAGUGUUCUACAAUGCCACUUCCCUUGAACACCUGGACAUUUCUUCUAACUGCUUGCACACUGUGGAAAAGUACUACUUUGAAGGCCUUGUAAACUUGAAAGAGCUCUUGUUGUACAAUAACAAAAUUGUACAGGUAGAUAAAUAUGCUUUUGCCAAGCUAACCAGUUUGCAAAAGAUCUAUCUAAGUUGGAACAAGUUGACUACAUUUCCAUUUGAUUCCAUUCAAAGACUUGAAUAUCCUUAUUUGAGGAUCCUAGAUCUUUCUGCCAACAAAUUAAGCAGCAUUCCUGUUGACGUAGUAUCAACCUUGCCUGUGUACAUUAAAAAUGGCUUAUAUCUUCACAACAAUCCUGUGAGGUGUGACUGCUCUCUUCACCAGAUGUUUCAGGAAUGGAAUCACCGUGGUUUCAGUUCCAUACAGGAUUUCAAAGAAGAACACACUUGCAGAGCUUAUGCCAGUGUGCCGCUCUCCUUAGUCGAUACCUUCAAGUACAACAAGUAUUUCGGAGAUUGUCCCUGGAGCGAAAGCAAACUUGGCAUUCCAAAGGUUUUUUGCAAAGUGGGAGAAUCCUUAAUAAUGGACUGUAACACAAGCCUCCAUAAUGACAAUUCCACCACCUAUAGGUGGAUCUCUCCUCGCCAUGAAUUAUUCAGAUAUCCUGAGCACGGUGAUCAGACUCAUCAGCCUUUCAAAAAUGGAAGCUUAAAGAUCACAAAUGCUCAGCUUUUGCAUUCUGGUGUUUAUGUGUGCAUAGCGAUCAGCGAGCUCCAAAAUAUCAACCGGACACAUGAAGUUAAUGUCACAGUCCAGUACCCCAAAUUAGCUGAGCCUUUCAAAACUGCCCUCACAACCCUCUUAGGGUGUAUUGUAAGCCUGGUGCUGGUCCUUAUGUACUUGUACCUAACACCAUGUCGCUGCUCCAAGUGCUGCAAGAAGCCUGUAAGCCCACCCCAAGAAUGCAGUGCCCAGUCAUCUAUCCUCAGUACUACCCCACCGGCCACUGAUGGGCCAAGUCGCAAGAUCAGUGCAAACAAGCACGUUGCUUUCAGGGAGCCCAUCAAGGAGGGCCAGAAUGGCAAAGUCAGGCUGGCUGUCGGUGAGGAUUUUCCUGGCACUAAAAAACCCAAGCCACCGCAACUUAAGCUGGACACCGAAUCUAUCAGUUCAGUCUUUUCUGACCAUCCCAUCAUAGCCAAGGAACAAGUACAGUCACCGACUAAUGCAUAGCAAGCAAGCCCCAGGAAGAAUGUGGUGAGGUGAGACUGGAACAGAGUUUGGGUACAUUACCUUCAUGAGAGGGAAGAAAAAGCAAGAUAUAUUUAUAAAGCAUUUCCUCACCAAAAAGUAUGGACAGUUUUGGUAUGUGUGUUUGUUUGCCUGCUUGUUUUUUAAACCUCCCUUGGAUGCAGGAUUCACUUUUAUUUUUCUGUCAUCUUCCCCAGAAGGAAGAAUGAUUUCUUCCACUAAUUCCAGUUUAAAUGUCCAGAAUUCAUCUAUUAUGCACAAAGAGAAGCAACAAUCUUUUAUCCAAAAGAAAACAGAAGGACUGCAGCCUAUUUGGUCAUCAAGACUACAAUGUUAUGGCAGAAAGUACCUUUGGAAAACUCCUAUAGAAUACAAGCUUGUGUUAGUGCUUUGAUCUUCAAAGAAUAAACAUUUGCUAUGUAACAAGCCUAUUGUUUUCAUUUCAGGAGAAGAAAAAGUGCCAUGCCUUUGCUAUACAAACAGGGGAGCCUUUCUUACUUUUUAACUGCUUUAGCCAGCUACUGCUUCUAAUAGUGUUUUGGAAAAUAAAUUCAUGAGCCCACUCUUUCCAACUUCUGGGCUGUAUGGAACAAGUUGCAGCAUGGUUAAAAAUUGAAGCAAUGGUGCCUUUAGAAAGGCAACAAACCCUGCUCCGGAUGAUCACAUCAUAUGCAUGGAUAUGUGCAAUCAGCCACGGCCCAAGCAGAACUUGAAGACGACACACAAAUGAUACAUUUAUUUAUUAAUAUCAUUUAAACCAGUGGAUUUCAACCUUACUACAGCUGGGGACCAGUGAAAACAGGAAAACUACCUUGAGGACUGCUGAGGCAGAAACAAAAAGCACCAUGCACAUAAUACAGUAUUCCAUGUAUUAGUUUCUCAACACAAUACCCCCCAAAAAAAAGAAAAUUCUCCAAAACAACCUGAAACCGAGCAACAAAAAAUGUCAACAAAAACGGAAAUUGGUGCAGCGUGGCUCCCACUGAGCUGUCUCCCCCCUCCCUGGCACCCAGGCAGCACAGCGCACCCCCCGCGAAUGCGAUGCCAACCAAGGAGGAGGUGGUGGAGCGCAGCGAGCUCCUGCACCGGUCCACAGUGAGCAGGAUGCAAUCCCCCACAGACCAGCAUGAACUCUCCCAUGGACUGGUGGUUGAAAACCACUGAUUUAAACCAUGAGCAUUGCAAAUGGGGCAUUUAUAUCUCCUUUAGAAAGUAAAGCUUGAUCUAACCAACAUCAAGAUCUGCACAGAAAUAGCAAAAGUAAGAUGUUUAGUUAUGCAAACCACACAAGCACAGAAGAUAGCUAUCAACCUAGAAGAUAGCUAUCAACCUAUAAACAAUCUCAUUUUCAGUAAUGUUAAAGCUCAUUAGAUAUACAGACUUUUCAUAUAUAUAGACAUUACAAGCAAAGUAGGUUCUACCAAUGAAUCACCUACUUCAAAGUUUUAUCAGCAAGCUUUUUAAAAACUAGUGUGCUUCCAGUGUUGGGAGUAUAUAGGCCCUGCACGUGGACUGUUCGCCAAAUAAAAAGUAGGGUGCCCUUUUUCUGCACUUGGGUGUUCUUGUGAUCACAGAAAUGUUGACUGGGUUCACACAACACAGAAAUUAUGGGGUUUUGUCUUGUGCAAACCAAAACCAAUUUCCAGGAUGGCUUGUGAAUAAGAACAAAGAAACCAAACCACUCAUGAGCAGAUAUAGCAGUUGUCUACCUACAAUGGGUUGUCUUAUCAUUCACAUUGGUAUAUCCAUCCUUAGCAUGGGUAGGAGAAAAUCGGCUAAAAAACUCCAUGGCAAAAGCAUCCAAUGCCCCUUACCACUCCUGCUUUGUGGUUACUGAAAAAAGCACCAUUG